GUUUCCGUAGGUGAACCUGCGGCUGGAUCAUUA
rnacentral:rRNA from 1 species